UUAGUAGUGGCGAGCGAACGGGGACCAGCCCUUAAGUUGAUUUGAGAUUAGUGGAACGCUCUGGAAAGUGCGGCCAUAGUGGGUGAUAGCCCCGUACACGAAAAUCUCUUAUCAAUGAAAUCGAGUAGGACGGAGCACGAGAAACUUUGUCUGAAUAUGGGGGGACCAUCCUCCAAGGCUAAAUACUCGUGAUCGACCGAUAGUGAACCAGUACCGUGAGGGAAAGGCGAAAAGAACCCCGGAGAGGGGAGUGAAAUAGAACCUGAAACCGUAUGCGUACAAGCAGUGGGAGCCUACUUUGUUAGGUGACUGCGUACCUUUUGUAUAAUGGGUCAGCGACUUAUAUUCAGUGGCGAGCUUAACCGAAUAGGGGAGGCGUAGCGAAAGCGAGUCUUAAUAGGGCGUUUAGUCGCUGGGUAUAGACCCGAAACCGGGCGAUCUAUCCAUGGGCAGGUUGAAGGUUAGGUAACACUGACUGGAGGACCGAACCGACUACCGUUGAAAAGUUAGCGGAUGACCUGUGGAUCGGAGUGAAAGGCUAAUCAAGCUCGGAGAUAGCUGGUUCUCCUCGAAAGCUAUUUAGGUAGCGCCUCAUGUAUCACUGUAGGGGGUAGAGCACUGUUUCGGCUAGGGGGUCAUCCCGACUUACCAAACCGAUGCAAACUCCGAAUACCUACAAGUGCCGAGCAUGGGAGACACACGGCGGGUGCUAACGUCCGUCGUGAAAAGGGAAACAACCCAGACCGUCAGCUAAGGUCCCAAAGUCAUGGUUAAGUGGGAAACGAUGUGGGAAGGCUUAGACAGCUAGGAGGUUGGCUUAGAAGCAGC
rnacentral:ncRNA from 1 species